CAAGGACAAAACCAAAAGGCUCAUUUCAGCCAUUAAAACACCUGAAUAUAAGUUACAUGAAAGAAGCACAAAAGAAUAAACAACAGAACAAAUAAACACACACAAAUACUACUAAGGCAUCACAAACGGAAAAAAAUGAAACGUUAACUCAAAAGUUUGAGAAAACAGAAACAUGUAAUUAAGCCAAAAUAGUAAAAGAAAGGAGAGGAAUAUACCUCGUUAAAUUUGAAAUUUGAUUGUGUCACAAUCUUGAAUUCGGGAAUAUGAUGAAUCGCGGACGGAAGCUCGAAUCGUCACUGUAAAUCUCAUCUGGACUCGCACUCGGACAGAAUGUUUAUUCAAACUCGACUUAAAUCUGUUCUCACACUCAAAGACCAAAAAUCACAAAAAAAAAAUGAAGCAACAAAAAUGUUCUCCUCGGAUAUAACCAGCUCGCCGACGAGACAGAACCUGACGGGUGAGAGAUGAGGAAACGAAGAGGAGGCGAUUUUCUAAAGUUUGUGCUGGUUUUCUUAGAAUAGGGGUCGCUGAAUCAUUUGGGCGCGAGGUGAAGAAACAACAAUUGGUGGUUCUCUUUUGUGUGAGAGAUGAAGGGUCAUUCGUCAUUCCUGGGCAUGUGGGUGACUAGUUCUGGGCGGAGGAAAGCAGGCGGCGCCGCUGGUCUAAGCGGCUAUUGAGAGGUAGAGAUGAGUGGCAGAUGGUUUUUCUUGCAGUAGUCUUGAGAGGUGAAGAAGGUUGGGUGUAGGGUGAGAGUUAUAAGGAUGGGUAGUUUUUGUUUGUUCGCUAGCAGAGAGAAUGGUACCCGAGUUCGGUCGCUGAUGGUACGAGAGCUGGCCGACGAUGGCUGAAAGGCUGGUGCUCGGCGGCUUUCUUGUGUAGGUUCAGAUGGCUGCUCCUAUGGUCUUAAGGUUGAAGAAGGUUUUUUUAGUUUGUUGUGGGUUGAAGGAGAUGAAGCCAUGGCUGAAGGGUUUUUAUGUUCUAGGGUUUUUUAUGGGUUUAAGGAUAUUGGGCCUUAAAAUUGGGCCAUCUCUUGGACCUCUUGAAUUAAGACCAAAUAAAACUAACCUCAAAUUUCAUACUCUAUCUUCUAAAAGUGAUAUAAAAUUUAUAAUGUAAAAUAUAAAACCAAUUCUAAUUAAUUAAAAUAAAUAUUAUGUUGUGAAACUAUUUUGGUAUUUUUCAAGAUUAUGUAAAAAUAAAAAUUCUAGUAAAAUAGUAUGACUACAAACACUAAUGAAACUAUUUUUUUAUUUUUUGUGAUAAAAUAAUGUAAAAAAGUAAAAAUUAGUUGAAACAACUAUAUUAGACCUAAAUUAAGUAUUUAUAUGCUAAACUAUGUAAAAUCUUAGAGAGGGUCAAAAAUCACAUGUCUACAGCUGCCCCUCUUUGACUGAAAAUACAAAAUAUUUUCAUACAAAGAACGACUAGACAAGUUUUUUGACCCGACCCUUAUUUAGAGAGGCAAAAACUAAAAGAAAAGAAAAUGUGACCGAGCCCUGGUAUCUGAGCUGCCUACAUAUCCUUGGCUAUAAAAGAAUCAGGCCACGUGUAGUUCGGAGUGGGAAGAGCGAUGAAGUAUCGAGGUGGAGAGUCGAGUGAAGUGCCGUCGAGGUUCUGGUCCGCGGUUCCUGCCAUUACAUAAAAAAUAGAAGGAAAUAUUAUGGCAAAAGUAAAAGAAAAAUAUAAGAUCCUAUCUACUUCUUGUCUUGAAUCUUCCUUGAAUCUCUACUUGAGCCUUCAACAUGAAACUGAAAAAUGGGCCCUGUUCUUCAGGUGGGCUCCUAAUGCUUCUUGAAUUUGGAAAUUAAAAGUUGAUCCUGUUAUUCAGGAGGGGCUCCUGACGCAUCUUGAAUUUGAGAAUUGAAAGUAACUCUGAAAUGAAUUCCUUCGUUUUCCAGGUGGGCACCUGCCACUGAUUUAAAACUGAAAUGAAUUCCCUCAUUCUCCAGGUGGGCGCCUGCCAGUGACUUAAAACAUGAAAUGAAUUCCCUCAUUCUCCAGGUGGGUGCCUGCCAGUGACUUGAACUCGAAAUAAAUUCCCUCAUUCUCUAGGUGGGUGCCUGCCAAUGACUUCAACUCGAAAUAAAUUCCAUCAUUCUCCAGGUAGGCGCCUGCCAGUGACUUAAAACUUGAAGUGAAUUCCCUCAUUCUCCAGGUGGGCGCCUGCCAGUGACUUUAAACUUGAAGUGAAUUCCCUCAUUCUCCAGGUGGGUGCCUGCCAGUGACAUAAAACUUAAAAUGAAUUCCCUCAUUCUCUAGGUGGGCGCCUGCCACUAACUUGAAACUUUAGAUGACUUCCCUUAUUCUCCAGCUGGGCUCCUGUUGCUUACUUGAAAAUCACAAUAAUUCUGAAAUGGAUUCCCCCGUUCUCCAGGUGGGCGUCUGUUGUUAAAACUUGAAACUUGAUAUGGAUUCCCACAUUCUCCAGGUGGGCGCCUGCGACUGACUUGAAACUUGAUAUGGGUUCCCUCGUUCUCCAUGUGGGCAUCUGCUACUGACUUAGAACUUAAAAUAAAUUCUGAAAUGAAUGCCCUCGUUAUCCAGGUGGGUGCCUGAUUGCUAGAAACUUGAAUUGUAUUCCCUCGUAACCAGGUGGGUGGUUGAUUACCAAAAACUUGAAUUGUAUUCCAUCGUUAUCCUGGUGGGUGCCUGAUUACCAAAAACUUGAAUUAUACUCCCUCGUUAUCCAGGUGGGCGCUUGAUUUCCAAAACAUGAAUUGUAUUCCCUUGUUAUCCAGGUGGGCGCCUGGAUUUCCAAAACUUAAAUUGUAUUCCCUUGUUAUCUAGGUGGGCGCCUUCCAUUACAACAAAACAAACAAAACAAAAGAAAUUUUCUGCCCCAGUUUGGAAUCUAGGCACAUCUGUGAGUGUUAAUCGAAUUAUGUUACCUAAAGAGCUCUAAGAAUUUAAAAGCUAAAUCCCAUUAUCCAGGAGGGACCUGAAAACUUCAAAUUAAAUCUCAUAUUAAGAGUGACAACUUUAAAGAUAAGUUAUAUUUGCUACAGGUAGAACUUACGUUAAAUCUUGUUAUCUAUGAAGGUUUUGAAAUCUAACUAGAUCCCAUUAUCUAAGAGGGUCCUGAGAACUUUUAAAAUUAAAUCCCAUUAUCCAGGAGGGUCCUGAAAACUUAAAACUAAAUCUCAUUAUCCAGGAGGGUCCUGAAAACUUGAGAACUAAAUCCCAUUAUCCAGGAGGGUCCUGAAAACUUGAAACUAAAUUCCAUUAUCCAGGAGGGUCCUGAAAACAUGAAACCUAACUCCCAUUAUCCAGGAGGGUCCUGAAAGCUGAGAAUGAAAUUACCUGAGCCAUGCACUCUUCUUCGAGGAUUCUGAACAGAAAUUCUUGCCACUGAGCCAUGCCUUCUUCAUGGAAGGUUCCUUGUGGAUUAACAAUUUUUCUUGCCCCUGUUUUAGACAAAUAAAAUAUUGUUAGUUUGAAAACGUGGUGGUUAGUUUGUGGUAUCAUUGCUGAGUGUCUGUUUCUGCACUUGCCAAGAUAACUUUGAUUUCAACUUGGACGACCUUGAUUGUUAUCGACUACCCAUGUUUUUUCAACCCUUAUCACAGAAAACACCUCUGCUCCAUUCGACCCCAAUAUCCUCUAUCUGUUGCAUUUUGCUCAUGAAUUGACAUUUACCGAACCCUUGCAUUUUAUAAAUCCCAAAACAUGUUGAUUGUUACCAACUCAAUGCGCAUACCACUUUUCCCUAACUCAUGCCACUUUGAUGGGCUAGCCAAAUUCGUUUUGUGCAAUUGGAAAGCUAGUAGCAAAUUUUGAAGUCAUUUCUCACUUGUUCUGACCAAACAGACUCAAGAAGGGACUCAAACAAAACAAGAGGAACAAAAUAAGGGACAAGGGAAAGAGAUGAUACCUAACAAGAAAAUUACGAAGUAGAAACUUAUCAGAUGUGGAUACCAACUCUAAUGACCAUGACAUGCACCUUUGGAUUAAGUGGCCUAAUCUCUCAAGUAAGUCUAAUAUUCAACUCUUGCUGUACCUCUUCGCUGUGAAACUAGUCUUCAACGCUUCAAUUUUCCCAUUUGAUCCACAAUCCUCAGUCGACUUGUAGUGCCCUGAAGGUUUUCACCAUCAAGCCUCUCUCAUUUUGCUCUUUUCUCAACUCACCAUCGCCUUACGGUGCCCCUGAGGGUUUUCACCGAUAAGACUCUCUCAUUUUAUCAUUUUCUCUCAUUGUGCUGAGAACACAGGUAUUACCCAUGAUGCAGGAAGAUCAUACUUUCAGCCCACACAUGAUUUGGCAUCCUCAAAGAUUGUCGGAAGGUCUUUCUUUGGACCGUAAUGUAGGCUUUUGGACAGAGUUAGAAAGAAAGGGUGGCAUGAAGGCUCAAAAUAAUUUAAGAUAAAACGGUUCAAAAUUACAACUUUUGGAAUCAUGUCUUUUGGCAAAAUUAAAACCUCUGCCCCAGUUUCUUGGAGUUUGGGGAUUUCUUUUUUACUUUUUGCUUUGAUGGGAUUUCUAAGAAAAAAAUGCCCCACUCUUGACUUUGGGGAUUAUGAAAUAUUUUAUUUGGUGUGACCAAACCGUAAGUCUGCCUACGUAUCUUGUGGUGACAAGAAUUAGGUCAAACGUAGUUCAAAAGACAACUUAAACUUCAGGUUAUCUCAGAAUGCGUGAAUCUUUACUUGUUUCCUCAAACGCAUCCUUUUAUCAUAUUCAAAACGGUGCCAUUGCUUCAUGAUUAGACUAACUUUCAAGAUCAGGCUAAGGAUUAUGCGUGCAUUCCAUGUCACUAUAGUCGGCAUGAAAAGAAAUAUAAAAGAAAAAAAUGACCUAAACAAAAACUGACUAGAACUAACAGAAAAUAGGAGAUUGCAUUAAAUAGAUGAUGAAAAGGGUUUGAACAAGACAAGAAAAAUAGACAUGGGUUACAACCCUGGAACAAUCCUAAAUAACACUAGACAAGUUACUACAACUAAACAAACUAGACAAAAUGAGAAGAAAAAGAGUUUGAGCCACAAGACAAUGUCCGGAGUACAACCCCGAAAUAACCUGGACAAACAGAAAUGACAACAAAAGAAGCCACCAAAACUCCUCCCUGGGUAGCUAAGAAAGGAUUGUCUUUCCAAUUACCAAGCUCGACAUCUUAGCCACUGGGUUGCAUAUCAAAAUUACUAGGACCUUCACUAAUUUCAAUAUCAUUCACUUCAGUCAGCAAGUUCCCUAGAGGAUUCUCAUACUCCUUGUCACCAUGCAUCUCUCCCAUAAAGUGUGCAUUAUCAUGUGCAGGUAAAUGAUUUUACGUGAUGUUCUGGGUGUCACUGUCUUGGACCACAAUUAUCCCUUCUUGAAUCAUUCUUUCUAUCUCCCUUUUCAAAGCAUGACAAUCUUCAAUGUUAUGCCCUUGGACAUUAGAGUGGUACAUGAACCGUAUAGUAGGAUCAAAACCUUUUGCAUAUGGGUCCGGAAUAUAGCUGAUGAGUGGCUCAAUCAGGCUAGACUGUUUUAACUUUUCAAACAAGCUUGUGUAGGAUUCUCCGAUUGGAGUGAAAGACUUUUCUCUUUGCUGCUGCCUCCUCAUUUUGAACUCCGGCCUUGGUUGGAACCUCUUUCGAAUAGGGUGUAAUAUGCUUGUAGAGGUGGGUAAGACAUUUGUGGAGGCGGUGCAAGCCGUUGCGAGUUUUGUGAGUGUGGAGCAUAUGGCGGUGCAUUGCGGAUAGAGUACUGGAGAGGUGAGGUAUGACUUUGGGGAUUUUGUGGAGGAAAGUAUCAUUGGUGAGGAUUAUCUGGAGUACGAGGAUAUUUAUGGGGUCGAUAUUGAGGCUGAAAGCGCUUAGUAGGAAUGCCCACUGGAUCAUGUCUUUGGCGGGGCUUAGCAAUAUCUUUUCUAUCAAUUGGAGAACUGACCCGUGCAACUUGUUCGUUCCAUCUGAACCAAAACUCCCUAAAACAUUCCUUGGGUCUCUUUACUUGGGCAUCAGGGACUUUGAACAUAAUCUCGCUAGAGGAUCGAGGAAGAGUAGCUGGUGGAGGAGCUACAAAAAUAUGAGCAGAUGUCGGAGCAGGGUAUGAGGUUGUUUUGGCUGGUGGAGCAUGGAAAAUUUGGGAGGAAGUACCAGAGUAAUUGUGGUAAGGGGUAAAGCCCGGGGCAUGUUAAGGGAAAAGGUCAACGGUAGUAGGAAACUCUGCUUGUGAUAGUGGUGGGAUACUUGCAGGGUUUUCAGUGUAGUUAGUGGGGAAUGAAGGUGGAGGAUGCCCCCUGAUCCAAGACUGAUACAUUUCUGCCAUCUGUUGUUUCAACCUUUGGACCUUCUCUUUCAAUUCAGACUCCGACUCCAUAACCUCCCUCGACGGGUCAACAACUCCUGUGUUCAAGUCUUUACUAGCCAUGGGUACUUUGCUCUUUGACCUUGUGUUGUAUGGACGAAUCGCCAAAGUGACACAAACUAACCACCCUCUAUUAUGAUAACAAUUAAAGUAACAAAGGGGAGAAAAAGAAAGCCAGCAUGUUAACGUUAGGGUAUUUAUCAGAUAGAAAUAUUACAUUGCGUGCAAUACCCCUAGUCACAGUUAACGGUUUUAAAAUGGCUUCGAGGGUACGAAGGUCAUAUGGCAUCAUCCCAAUUUCACUCUUCUUGCCCCAUUUCCCUCUUCAUUUUCCUUUCUAACACCUCUUGGCUAACUCAUUUUCCUUCCCCUCUAUUCUUUUUAAUUGCCACUCUUUUCUUUCCUCUCAUUUCUCACGUCCCGCAACUUCAUUCUCUCCUUUUCUUCUUUUUUUUUUCCUUUUCUUUUUUUAAUGAUGAUCGAACCCUAUGUAGGUUGCCUGCAUAUUAUGUCCCUCAUGAAUUAGAUCAAGCGUAGUUCUGAAAAAAUAAUGGACAAAAUAAACUAAGAAACAAAUUUUUUUUUGGAUUUUUCAUUUAUAAAGUUUUUUGGUUUUUCAAAUACAGAACAAGAAGUACUAUAACAAAAAACUCGACAAUCUUAGCUAGACUGACAGACUCAAUACUACUGUACAAGACUAAAAAUUAAAAGACAACAUAAGAUAGACUAAAAAAUAAAAAGUUUCCUCAAGCAGCUCGUGCAUGCAAUGGUCUUGACUAGAAUGGUCCUGGGGUAUUUGUCAUGCUCAAACUCUAGCAAAUUGAUACAUACCUAAAUGAGAAAAAUAAGAUUAAAUAGAUUUAGUGACUCAAGGCACAUGUGACGCCACGGCACCUUCUAUUGGACACAUGCAAGGCAUGAUUAAGGCUAUUUUUGCAAAAUAACCUACGUGGCCAAGGUUGGUAUUAGUGUAAACUCAACAAAGGGGACCUCAAAGACAUGGAAAUACCUCACUAAGGCUUAUAUGGAUUAAACUCCCAGUAAUCAUGGCCCAAAAUCAAUUUGCAGAAUGACCCAUUUUGAAAAAAACGGCCGAUAUGGCCAGAAGUGGCCAAAGAUGCAAACUCAAAAAGGACGAACCUUAAAGUAAUAUGACACCUAGUUGUGGACUCAAGAUCCUAAGACAUGAGUUAUUGAACCACUUUUGCGAAAAUGACGCCAUUUUGCAAGAAUGGCCGAUGUGGCCGAAGGUGGCUACACAUGCAAGAUAUGGCUAAGACCCCGCAAAACCAAGAAGCUAAGACACUAGGAAGACCGGACCCUAUGUGGGUUGCCUACGUAUCUCGUCCCGAAAGAUGAGAAUCAGGUAUGCGUAGUUCGGGAAGAUCGGACAUGGAAGAAAGCUUUAAAAUGAAAUGCAACUAGUUUGGAAUUUUUUUUGUUUUUUUGAAAAAUGAUGGAAAAUGUAAAAUCUUUUUGGAUUUUCUUUUUCUCUUUUUUUUUUGAUUUUUGGAAAAAUAAGAAAGAAAAAUGUGAGUGGGCCCUACUUGCUUCAUUUUAUAUUUCACCCUCAAAUAUUCUUGGUCUGCCAAAUGACCCUUUUACCCUUAAAGAGAUGGAGCAUGUAGCACAUAGGGAUGAUUAAAUGUCUUUUUGGGCCAUAAGCCCAUUUUGACAUAGUUUGGAUAGGCCUCCUACAACGGGACACGGUGCCUGGGACCGAACCCUGCUAGGUUUAAAUGAUAUGAUGCACAUAAGUAUGACCUAAAGGCUGACCUACGGUUUGGGUUCACUAGACAAGGCAAUUCGGGGUGGCACGUGGUCGAUGGCGGCUGCUCUAGCUGUCCGCCCACUCCACGCUCCCACGCCACUCCCCUAAAGACACGGGUGACUAACAAAAGGGCCGUGUACGCUCAAACGUACUCCGGAAGACUUGUUGCAGAAAGAAGACUCGAGGUUAUGCAAAUGAUGACAAUUUAUAAAGCAGUAACACAUAUGGGAAAAACUGUAAACAAAUAAGCAACUAGCAAAUAAAACGACAUAAACAAAAAUGAAAAUCAAAUAAAACAAACAAAACACAUAAAAACCUCAACCAAAAAUCCUAAAAAGCCAACAAGAUCAAGUACUAGCUCGAACCUGCAACUCCCCAGCAGAGUCACCAGAGAUAUCACACCCCUUAUUUACAAACCUCACUAACCCUCUUAAAUUAAUAAAAAGAUUUGUGAAGCUCAAAAGGGUUUUCAAUUAGAAAGUGACAAAAAUUUAUGUUCAAAAGGAUUAACUCAGAGUCGCCACCUGACAUUUGUUUCGGCAUGCUAGGUCACCGUUUUUAAAAUGAUUUUCCUUUAAAAACGCUUUAGACUCAAAAACUAAGUCCGCACCAGAGAUUCGGGUAAGGGGUUCAUUUGACUCAGGGAGAAGGUGUUAGGCACUCCCCAAGUCCCGUAACUAGUACGGUUGCAUACUUUAUCUAGUCGGAUUUUAAAAUAUUCAAUUGAGGUAGAAAACACAGAAAAAGGAAAAUAAUUACACAAGAGGCUCGAGGUCUUCCCUACCUAAAUAAAAAAAAAAGAAAAAUGAAAAUAAAAUAAAAAUACUAAAAGUUUCUACUUUUGGCCUCUAUUUACAAAUACUUCGGGGCAUACCCCGGAUAAAAAUAUACACAAAUCCUUCGGGGCAUCCCCGGAUAAUAACCUAAAAGAAACGACCUCUCGCCUCGAUACUAAAAAAAUCCUAAGGCUUGCCUACCCAAGUGUGGUCGGCCUAAGCAUGUUACUAGCGAUUUCAAGCAAACAAGAUAAAACUAUUAACGUGCUGAAUUUAAUUUCUCAUUCUAUAUGUCCAAAACCCCAUAUUCAAUGCAGAACUCCAAUCAAUCUACUUAUAUAUAUGUAUAAUUAAUCCUUUUGUCAUCUGAAUGGUAACUGAAUCGUGGAACAUUAAAUAAAGCAAUAUGACAAGGACAAAACCAAAAGGCUCAUUUCAUCCAUUAAAACACCUGAAUAUAAGUUACAUGAAAGAAGCACAAAACAAUAAACAACAGAACAAAUAAACACACGCAAAUACUACUAAGGCAUCACAAACUUAAAAAAAUGAAACGUUAACUCAAAAGUUUGAGAAAACAGAAACAUAUAAUUAAGCCAAAAUAGUAAAAGAAAGGAGAGGAAUAUACCUUGUUAAAUCUGAAAUUUGAUUGUGUCACAAUCUUGAAUUCGGGAAUAUGACGAAUCGCGGACGGAAGCUCGAAAUGAAGCAAAACCUGACGGAAGCUCGAAUUCGGGGAUAUACCUUGUUAAAAAUGAAGCAACAAAAAUGUUCUCCUCGGAUAUAACCAGCUCGCCGACGAGACAAAACCUGACGGGUGAGAGAUGAGGAAAUGAAGAGGAGGCGAUUUUCUAAAGUUUGUGCUGAUUUUCUUAGAAUAGGGGUCGUUGAAUCGUUUGGGCGCGAGGUGAAGAAACAACAACUGGUGGUUCUCUUUUGUGUGAGAGAUGAGGGGUCGUUCGUCAUUCCUAGGCAUGUGGGUGACUGGUUCUGGGCGGAGGAAAGCAGGCGGCGCCACUGGUCUAAGCGGCUAUUGAGAGGUAGAGAUGGGUGGCAGAUGGUUUUUCUUGCAGCAGUCUUGAGAGGUGAAGAAGGUUGGGUGUAGGGUGAGAAUUAUAAGGAUGGGUAGUUUUUGUGUGUUCGCUGGCAGAGAGAAUGGUACCCAAGUUCUGUCGCUGAUGGUACGAGGGCUAGCUGACGAUGGCUUAAAGGCUGGUGCUCGACGACUUUCUUGUGUAGGUUCAGAUGGCUGCUCCUAUGGUCUUAAGGUUGAAGAAGGUUUUUUUAGUCUGUUGUGGGUUGAAGGAGAUGAAGCCACGGCUGAAGGGUUUUUAGGUUCUAGGGUUUUUCAUGGGUUUAAGGAUAUUGGGCCUUAAAAUUGGGCCAUCU
rnacentral:lncRNA from 1 species